GAUGAACGCUGGCGGCAUGCCUAAGACAUGCAAGUCGAACGAGAUGGCCUUUUGAAAACUGCGUACUUGUACAAAGUUCGAUUAAGAAUUUCCAUCUAGUGGCAGACGGGUGAGUAAUACAUAAGUAAUCUACCUUAGAGACUGGGAUAACGUUUGGAAACGAACGCUAAUACCGGAUAAUUCUUCUUACACAAGUAAGAAAGCUAAAAGGAGCGUUUGCUUCACUUUAAGAUGAGCUUAUGGCGUAUUAACUAGUUGGUGGGGUAAUGGCCUACCAAGGUGACGAUGCGUAGCCGAACUGAGAGGUUGAUCGGCCACAUUGGGACUGAGACACGGCCCAAACUCC
rnacentral:rRNA from 1 species